ensembl:lncRNA
CCCCCCCAGCUUUCUAAGGUUUGGGCUGCUGACCUAUGUGAAAAGCAGCUGAUCCAGCGUGCUGCAGUUUGAGGACAGUGUGCGAGGAGGUAUCUGACCCAGGUGAGGAGUGUCCCUACCCACAUCAUGGUCAGAGGUGGUCAGUGCAUAGUUCUUACUUGAAGCACAGCAGUGAAAAGUGGCUGCCCCUCCCCUCCAAAAAAAGAUUCAGUGUUAAAUUCACGGAGUUUAAGGAACCUGAGUCAACCAGAAGUAGAUGUCUCAGAGGCCAAAGAGAGACCUAAGCCAUAAAUUGUGGGAUCAUCAGCUUAGGGAUGGAAGUGAAUGAGGUCAUCCAAAGAGAGUAUGCAGUGAAGAGAGGGCCUGUGAGGGAACCUGGAGGACACCAGUAUUUCAGGGUGUUCUAACCCAGUCAAAGACCACCGGGGACAAUCCAUAGUCCAGUGGAGUCAGGUUUAUUGACCCAUUGCUAUGAGGAAGACAGCACAUCAGAGGAAUCAUGGAGUGUCCUACCAAACAGAAAAAGAGUUCUUAUAGGAUCUGAGAGAGGUGGAAUUAGGUGAAAUGUAAAUCAGGCAGUAGUUAAUAGCUCAAAGCAAACCAAAGCUGUGUGUAAAGUAGCCUACAUCAGGUCUGGACUGCUCAGUGGACUCAGGGUCUUGUUUCCUUGGAAACAAUAAAGUUAAGGCUCAUGUGGAAUACAUGUUUAGAAGUCCCUUUUCUGAAUCUCUCCACACCUGGGUUUUAAACCCUGUCCUCUUAGUGAUUUAGCUCUUCCAGGCAAGAGUUGCAUUCCUAUUCUAAAAGCAAAAUUUCUGAUAUUCUAUGAUUUUAGAAAACAAAAUUGCUCAGUGAGUAAGAAAGAAAUAGUCACUCCACGAAGAGGGUUGUUACGGUAUUUUAUAGCUGCAGUAUGUCCCUGGGAAAAAUUUUGUUUCUUAUUAAUUUUGCGGCUGGCUUUCUCUCUGUCUGUUAUUCCAGCCUGAUGAAUACCACAGCAGGUUUUUACAGCCUGAACUAAUUUUUAGAUUUUCAAGGGACACACAAAGGAGGUGGAAUCUGCAAAGACUGAGUAGGCAAUGUGGACAAAAAAAAAUGUUGCCUGUCAAGUAAGUAAACAAAAAUGUUUCCUGCUGUCAAGUCAUCAGCCCCUGCAGUUACCCCCUACAAUGGGCGCACCCUGAGGGGGAGUUCUGGAUGGAGAAAAACAGUAUACUAACCCUAGAUAGUUUAAGAUGCAUCAGUUCAGUUCAGUUGCUCAGUCAUGUCCAACUCUUUGUGACCCCGUGGACUACAGCACACCAGGAGUUGGUAAUGAACAGGGAAGCCUGGCAGGCUGCAGUCCAUGGGGUCGCACAGAGUCGGAAGCAACUGAGCGACUGAGCUGAGCCCAUAGGUGGCUAUUUAAAUUUAACUAAAAGUAAUUAAUUGGUUUUAAUUUUUAAAUAAAUUCAAAUCUUUUUCUUUCUUCAUGGCACUUAACCUCAUGUCAAAUGUUCAGUAGCCACAGGCUAGUCUCUACCCUAUUGGACAGUGC